rnacentral:rRNA from 1 species
UGGGGAAUUUUGGACAAUGGGCGAAAGCCUGAUCCAGCAAUGCCGCGUGUGUGAAGAAGGCCUUCGGGUUGUAAAGCACUUUUGUCCGGAAAGAAAUCCUUGGCUCUAAUACAGUCGGGGGAUGACGGUACCGGAAGAAUAAGCACCGGCUAACUACGUGCCAGCAGCCGCGGUAAUACGUAGGGUGCAAGCGUUAAUCGGAAUUACUGGGCGUAAAGCGUGCGCAGGCGGUUUGCUAAGACCGAUGUGAAAUCCCCGGGCUCAACCUGGGAACUGCAUUGGUGACUGGCAGGCUAGAGUAUGGCAGAGGGGGGUAGAAUUCCACGUGUAGCAGUGAAAUGCGUAGAGAUGUGGAGGAAUACCGAUGGCGAAGGCAGCCCCCUGGGCCAAUACUGACGCUCAUGCACGAAAGCGUGGGGAGCAAACAGGAUUAGAUACCCUGGUAGUCCACGCCCUAAACGAUGUCAACUAGUUGUUGGGGGAUUCAUUUCCUUAGUAACGUAGCUAACGCGUGAAGUUGACCGCCUGGGGGAGUACGGUCGCAAGAUUAAAACUCAAA